ensembl:rRNA 5S_rRNA 5S ribosomal RNA
GUCUACAGCCAUACCACACUGAAUGCGCCUGAUCUCGUCUGAUCUCAGGAGCUAAGCGGGGUUGAGCCUGGUUAGUACUCGGAUGGACUGGGGGUUAAAGAAGAGGAAGGAGUCAGAGAUU